GACGGAGGAUGCAAGCGUUAUCCGGAAUGAUUGGGCGUAAAGCGUCCGCAGGUGGCAGUUCAAGUCUGCUGUCAAAGACCGGGGCUUAACUUCGGAAAGGCAGUGGAAACUGAACAGCUAGAGUAUGGUAGGGGCAGAGGGAAUUCCUGGUGUAGCGGUGAAAUGCGUAGAGAUCAGGAAGAACAUCGGUGGCGAAGGCGGGUCUCUGGGCAAUAACUGACGCUGAGGAGCGAAAGCGUGGGGAGCGAACAGG
rnacentral:rRNA from 1 species